CGUGGUCCUGUGAAACUAAUAUAUACACACGCAACACACGCCAACCAGCUCCUCGAUCUGCUCUCGAUAACUCUUGAACUCGCUUGACCGAGUAGAUAUAGGUAUACGUAUGCAUCGCAUACGAUCGAACUUGGUCUUGCGCUUUUAAUUUGUCAACCUCAAAGACAAUGAAGGAAAAGCGGGAAAAAGAUAGAGAAGAAGAAACAAGUUAAUAAGGGAAUUGGGUGGAACGACGGCGACAGCGGCGACAACAAUGGUGAUAGUGGCAGUGGGCAGUGGCAGUGACAGUGGGCAUGGCAGUGGCAGUGGCAGUGGCAGUGGCAGUGGCAGUGGCAGUGGCAGUGGCAGUGGCAGUGGCAGUGGCAGUGGCAGUGGCAGUGGCAGUGGCAGUGGCAGUGGCAGUGGCAGUGGCAGUGGGCAGUGGCAGUGGGCAGUGGCAGUAGGCAGUGGCAGUAGGCAGUGGCAUGGGCAGUGGGCAGUGGGCAGUGGCAGUGGCAGUGGCAGUGGCAGUGGCAGUGGCAGUGGCAGUGGCAGUAGGCAGUGGCAGUAGGCAGUGGCAGUGGCAGUGGCAGUGGCAGUGGCAGUGGCAGUGGCAGUGGCAGUGGCAGUGGUAGCGACUUUGACGGUAACGGUGAAAAUUACAGCGACGGCGGCGAAGUCAAAUAUGGGACAAAGGGAAUUUUAUUUGUCUAUGUCAAUCUCAAUUUUGGUUGACAAAUCACGAUUGCCUUCUAUUUUCACUCUAGUUAUUUGUCGACGGUGCGAGGAAAAAAUUAUAAAAUUAUAAAUGGAACCGAUCCUUUCUUUCGCAAUGCAUACGAAUAUUUUACGAUUUGAUUCGAUCAUUGUUCAAAGUCGACGUAGAAUUUCGAACGAAUACAUUUCUCGGUUUCUGUUUGUUUUUUGAAAUG